UUUCACCGCAUCUUUCUUAAGAAGAUUAGCAUCGGAUUCUGCUUCGACGUUCAGAAACGCAGUGUUCUUCACAUCGCAUGGUCUUCUCCAACAGUUAUAGGUUCACUUUCUUCAUUUGCUCAUUAGGAGCAGAAGCACAAGUUGAGAACGAUCACGAAUUCAGAAGAGCAUACUCCCUACAGUUGGCUAGAUUGACUUAAGGAAGCCAAACGCUUGAGUUCUCCUGAAGAUGUUGAAGCAUUUAAACUGAACAGUUUGGACAAGGAAUAUCUACUUUGGAAAAUAACUUAUGAGGCAGUAAGCAAUGCAUAGGAUUUUUCCACAACGAUUUGCAAUAUGGUAACAUAAUGCUUUAUGAAGAGUCUUCUGCUGUCACCAUUAUAGAUUGUGAAUAUGCAAGUUUCAAUCGUGUGGCAUAUGAUACAGCAAACCAAUUCAAUGAGAUGGCUGCCAAUUAUCACACAUACCCCACAUAUUCUCGACUUCACUAAAUACCGUGUUGAGAAGUAUGCUCGUGCAAGACAUCUAUAUUGGGACAUUUGGGGAAUGAUUUCGGUAAUCAUCACUUUCUCACUUUAGCAUUGAUUUUUCUAUUUUUAAGCUUCUUAGUAUCUAUACUAUUUCCAUUAAUAAAAGCAUCAUGGGGAUUAUUGCACUCAUGAAUAACCAAAUUGUAGUCUAGUUAUUGAAAUAAAUAGUCUAAAAUAUUGUAAAUUUUCCAAAAGGACGAUUCUACAUAAUAUAGAUUUUCCAAAUGAAUAUAAAAUAUUUUGGUAUAAAUGGUAUUUAAUUAUCUUCUGAAUUCCUUGUGGAGGUGCAUGUAAAUAAAAUUGGCUUUAAGUACAAGGAAUAUGCAGAACAGAGGUUCCAACAGUAUUGGUCAAGGAAAACUUCUAUUGAAAGCUCUAAUGGCUCUUCUCAAGAAGAUAAUGGGGAGCAAGCAGCCACAUUGACCAGUAACCAUAAACCAGUUUAUUGAAGAUCUAAAAGAAGAUGAGGUUGUUGUUCAGGUGUGUUGAGACAACAACCCAGGUCCCAGCACAAGCUUCCUUCAGUACCUCUGAAUUUCUUCACAGGGCUGCCUGCAAAAACUGAUUGCAUGCUUUGAUUCAUAGAUACUGCACAAACUACAAAUGGACCUGCUUUGUUUUUAUUGUUUAGCACCAGAUUUUGUGGGUUUACAUUUUAUUAUGUCAUAGGAUUUUCUGUUUUUGAACUUUGUGUUAGUAAUCCUGGUUAAAUUUGUAAUUUUGUAGGUUAAAUACAUGUGGAUAUCAGUAUUUUCCCACUAUGAUAUUAAAAUAAAGCAGUUGAUUU